AGAACUGUGUACGGACAUCA
rnacentral:miRNA from 1 species